AUUGAACGCUGGCGGCAUGCCUUACACAUGCAAGUCGAACGGCAGCGCGGGAGCAAUCCUGGCGGCGAGUGGCGAACGGGUGAGUAAUAUAUCGGAACGUGCCCAGUAGUGGGGGAUAGCCCGGCGAAAGCCGGAUUAAUACCGCAUACGACCUACGGGUGAAAGGGGGGGAUCGCAAGACCUCUCGCUAUUGGAGCGGCCGAUAUCAGAUUAGGUAGUUGGUGGGGUAAAGGCCCACCAAGCCUGCGAUCUGUAGUUGGUCUGAGAGGACGACCGGCCACGCUGGGAAUGAGACACGGACCAGACGCCUACGGGAGGCAGCAGUGGGGAAUUUUGGACAAUGGGGGCAACCCUGAUCCAGCAAUGCCGCGUGCAGGAAGAAGGCCUUCGGGUUGUAAACUGCUUUUGUCAGGGAAGAAAUCUUCUGGGUUAAUACCUCGGGAGGAUGACGGUACCUGAAGAAUAAGCACCGGCUAACUACGUGCCAGCCGCCGCGGUAA
rnacentral:rRNA from 1 species